rnacentral:rRNA from 1 species
AUUGUACGCUGGCGGCAGGCCUAACACAUGCAAGUCGAGCGGAUCGGCGGACGGGUGAGUAAUGCCUAGGACUCUGCCUGGUCGUGGGGGAUAACGUCCGGAACCGGGCGCUAUUACCGCAUCCUCUCACCUUCGCCUAGGUCGGAUUAGCUAGUUGGUGGGGUAAAGGCCUACCAAGGCGACGAUCCGUAACUGGUCUGAGAGGAUGAGCAGUCACACUGGAACUGAGACACGGUCCAGACGCCUACGGGAGGCAGCAGUGGGGAAUAUUGGACAAGGGGCGAAAGCCUGAUCCAGCCAGGCCGCGUGUGUGAAGAAGGUCUUCGGAUUGUAAAGCACUUUAAGUUGGGAGGCGUUACCAACAGAAUAAGCACCGGCUAACUUCGUGCCAGCAGCCGCGGUAAUUC